CGGGAUUUUUAGGAUUCUUACUUGAAAUGUCUUCUGGCACAUCCACCUCUAACGAUUCCGAAAGUUCGUCUGCCUCAGUCUCUCAGAAUCCUCAUACUGUAGACGAACCCAUAUCUAGGACUGGGCCUCGUCCGAUUUUUGCGCCGAACGUCAUUCCCUGUUCUCUGACUCCGGAUGAACUUCUACUGAUAAAGGUUCAGUAUGGAGUUCUUCCGGAGUACGAGCUGGAGCUUCCUGAUCCCGCCAAUCGGGCUAGCACCCCCCACCUGACCGUUUCUGCCUGUACCAGGAGGCCUUUCGUGCUGGGCUCCGACUCCCGCUUCCAUCCUUCGUCGUCGCUCUUUUCCAUUUUCUAGACAUUUCUUUAGCUUCAGUCGUGCCGAACUCCUUUAGGUUUUUGAUAGGG
rnacentral:lncRNA from 1 species